rnacentral:rRNA from 1 species
CAAUGGGCGAAAGCCUGACGGAGCAAUACCGCGUGAGGGAGGAAGGCUCUUGGGUUGUAAACCUCUUUUCUCAGGGAAGAAAACAAUGACGGUACCUGAGGAAUAAGCAUCGGCUAACUCCGUGCCAGCAGCCGCGGUAAUACGGAGGAUGCAAGCGUUAUCCGGAAUGAUUGGGCGUAAAGCGUCCGCAGGUGGCAAUGUAAGUCUGCUGUUAAAGAGUCUAGCUCAACUAGAUAAAGGCAGUGGAAACUACAUAGCUAGAGUGCGUUCGGGGUAGAGGGAAUUCCUGGUGUAGCGGUGAAAUGCGUAGAUAUCAGGAAGAACACCGGUGGCGAAGGCGCUCUACUAGGCCGCAACUGACACUGAGGGACGAAAGCUAGGGGAGCGAAUGGGAUUAGAUACCCCAGUAGUCCUAGCCGUAAACGAUGGAUACUAGGCGUGGCUUGUAUCGACCCGAGCCGUGCCGGAGCUAACGCGUUAAGUAUCCCGCCUGGGGAGUACGCACGCAAGUGUGAAACUCAAAGGAAUUGACGGGGGCCCGCACAAGCGGUGGAGUAUGUGGUUUAAUUCGAUGCAACGCGAAGAACCUUACCAAGGCUUGACAUGUCGCGAAUUUCGGUGAAAGCUGAAAGUGCCUUAGGGAGCGCGAACACAGGUGGUGCAUGGCUGUCGUCAGCUCGUGUCGUGAGAUGUUGGGUUAAGUCCCGCAACGAGCGCAACCCUCGUUUCUAGUUGCCAGCAAUAAGAUGGGAACUCUAGAGAGACUGCCGGUGACAAACCGGAGGAAGGUGGGGAUGACGUCAAGUCAGCAUGCCCCUUACGCCUUGGGCUACACACGUACUACAAUGCUACGGACAAAGGGCAGCUACACAGCGAUGUGAUGCAAAUCUCGUAAACCGUAGCUCAGUUCAGAUCGAAGGCUGCAACUCGCCUUCGUGAAGGAGGAAUCGCUAGUAAUUGCAGGUCAGCAUACUGCAGUGAAUUCGUUCCCGGGCCUUGUACACACCGCCCGUCACACCAUGGAAGUCGGUCACGCCCGAAGUCAUUACCCCAACC